GGGGGCGAACUGGAUUCGACGGGGGAAGUGAAUCAGAGACUGCGUGUCGAGGUGUCAGUACCCUCGUUAAUCCACUGGCAAAACCAUAGUUGCCAACACUGAAAUGGCUCUCGCUGCCUAAUUGGCGGUGACGUCUCCCGUUCCUUGGCCCGUUGGGGGGCGACGAGACGAAGUCACAUCGGGCUAGCUAUAGGUGGAGCGCUCCGCGAAACCGGCGAAACACUAGGAGCUGGCGCGAUUGGGAUCCCGACGGUCGGAGCCCUCUAGCGCGAGAUCAAUAGGCCGAAUACGCACGUAGAGGUCUUUGUGGAUCUUCUUUCGGACGCGGGUUCGAUUCCCGCCGCCUCCACCA
rnacentral:tmRNA from 1 species